GUACCUGCCUUUUCCCCAAUUUUGAAAUCCCUACCACCAUUUUAUUUCAUUUUGAUUUUAUUGCAUCGCCUACAUUCCUUCUCUUCCCGUCGUUGAGCUCCUUUGCCGUUGUCUCCUUCCCUUUCUUUUAGGUCUUCAGCGUCCAGAGAUCGAACUUGACAUUGAAAAAGCUUCUGAUGCUGUUGUUGUUCAAAAAGGAAGCGGCUAUUCUGGUUGAGGGCUCGUUUUUUAUCAUAAGAGCCUAGUGGAAGCAGUGAAAAAAUUUGAUGUUGUAAUCUGCACCAUGUCUCGGGUACAUUUCUGGACCCACAACAUUUUGUUGCAGCUGAAGCUUGUGGAGGCGAUCAAAGAAGCUGAAAAUGUUAAGCAUUGAUGCUUUUAUGAGAAGGGCUAGAAUGGUUGUGCUCGUAAGCUUCUUUCUGCGUCUAUAGAAGGGCUGACACAACAAUGCUGAAAUAGAUACUGAUGGUGAUGAUCAACUUUAUGCAUCCGAAACAAAGUCCCUUUUGCCUAAUGAUGCAUGAACAACUUGGCUUCUGUACCAACUUCAAAUCUGAAUAGAGAGUAGAUUGAAUAGAGAAGCUCUUUUAUUAAGUUAAUCUAAUACCCAUCUGAAACUACUACCCACCUGAGACAAUAAAUAAUCAAUUUAAUUAAUUAAGUUAA